rnacentral:rRNA from 1 species
AGCCAGGCAUCUCUCAGGAUCUGAGGUAGUACUGCCAGAGAGUGGGGAAGAGAAGGGACCGGCCCAGGGCCUCUAUCUAUUAGAUCCGUUAGGCAGAGUAGCUUUCAACAUUAUAGUUGCGCAGGCACUUUGGUGACUCUAGAGAACCUCGGGCCAAUCGCACAUUCCCGUGACAGCGACGACGCAUUCGGAUGUCUGCCCUAUCAACUUUCGAUGGACUUUCUGCGCCUACCAUGGUGAUCAUGGGUAACCGGGAAUCAGGGUUCGGUUUCAGAGAGGGAGCCUGAGAAACGGCUACCACAUCCAAGGAAGGCAGCAGGCG